rnacentral:lncRNA from 10 species
GUGCUUUGGGACAGAUAGAGAGUUGAGAGACAGAAGGGGUGGGAACAUCAUGUUGAAGUGAAGUUCAGACCACAUGAAGAAGCCACACAUAGGUGUUCCAUCCAACAGCCAACAUCAGCUGGUGUACAUGUUGUUUCUCCUAGAUCGUGUUUCCUGAGAAGCAAAUUUUGAGAUGGUUUUGAGUGAUGGAUGUCUACUUAAGAGUGCUCCUGGGAAUAACAUCUAUAAAAUCCUGGUGGAGGCAGAGAGGAGGAGACUUUGGACUGGGAGGGAGUUAAUAUACAAGUUUCCACUGAUCCUGUGAGACUGGAAUGACCCCUCAAAUUUGUCUCAAUUUGAGGCAACUUGGUCAAGCAUUAGUAUCCUACAAUUGAUAGGUUAUUGGGUGCCCAGAGAGAGAGAGAGAGAGAGAGUGAGAGCAAGAAUGAGAGUGAGACUGAAUAUGAGAUAACGAGAGAUGUAGAUAUACCUCAGGAUAUAAAAUUUAUUCAUUUUUUGUGUGAAGUGUAAGAUUUGCAUCUAGUAUCUUUAUUUUGCAUAAGGACAUCCCAUUGUUCCAUCACCAUUUGUUGAAAAGGUAUCUGUCCUCUGAAUUACCACUAUACUUUGUCAAAAAUCAGUUGACUAUAUUUGUGUGGGCCCAUUUUUGGAUGCUAUAUUUUAUCUUUGAAGAUAAUCUUUCCAAAUUUCAGG